AUGAACGCUAGCUACAGGCUUAACACAUGCAAGUCGAGGGGCAGCAUGGUCUUAGCUUGCUAAGGCCGAUGGCGACCGGCGCACGGGUGAGUAACACGUAUCCAACCUGCCGUCUACUCUUGGACAGCCUUCUGAAAGGAAGAUUAAUACAAGAUGGCAUCAUGAGUCCGCAUGUUCACAUGAUUAAAGGUAUUCCGGUAGACGAUGGGGAUGCGUUCCAUUAGAUAGUAGGCGGGGUAACGGCCCACCUAGUCUUCGAUGGAUAGGGGUUCUGAGAGGAAGGUCCCCCACAUUGGAACUGAGACACGGUCCAAACUCCUACGGGAGGCAGCAGUGAGGAAUAUUGAUCAAUGGGCGAGAGCCUGAACCAGCCAAGUAGCGUGAAGGAUGACUGCCCUAUGGGUUGUAAACUUCUUUUAUAAAGGAAUAAAGUCGGGUAUGGAUACCCGUUUGCAUGUACUUUAUGAAUAAGGAUCGGCUAACUCCGUG
rnacentral:rRNA from 1 species